rnacentral:rRNA from 1 species
UACGGGGGGGCAAGCGUUGUUCGGAAUUACUGGGCGUAAAGGGCUCGUAGGCGGCCAACUAAGUCAUACGUGAAAUCCCUCGGCUUAACCGGGGAACUGCGUCUGAUACUGGAUGGCUUGAGUUCGGGAGAGGGAUGCGGAAUUCCAGGUGUAGCGGUGAAAUGCGUAGAUAUCUGGAGGAACACCGGUGGCGAAGGCGGCAUCCUGGACCGAGUACUGACG